UCCUCAGUAGCUCAGUGGUAGAGCAGUCGGAUGUUAACUGACUGGUCGUAGGUUCGAAUCCUACUUGGGGAG
rnacentral:tRNA from 1 species